UACGUAGGGGGCAAGCGUUGUCCGGAUUUAUUGGGCGUAAAGAGCGUGUAGGCGGCCUGGUAGGUCAGUUGUGAAAACUCGAGGCUCAACCUCGAGACGCCGAUUGAAACCAUCAGGCUAGAGUCCGGAAGAGGAGAGUGGAAUUCCCGGUGUAGCGGUGAAAUGCGCAGAUAUCGGGAAGAACACCCGUGGCUAAGGCGGCUCUCUAGUACGGUACUGACGCUGAGACGCGAAAGCGUGGGGAGCGAACAGG
rnacentral:rRNA from 1 species